CGGCUCGACAGCUGGUGGAGAUGAAUUACAUCGGCGACAGUACUGAUCGUGACCAUCGUUGCACCAGUGACUACAGCUUCGUUUGAAACAAUUAUUUGUGUGGAUGUGUUCUUGCCAGUUUAUAAUUUUCACUGAUUAUAUUGAUGAAGACAACAAGAGUGCACCUCUGUGGAGAAGCAGGAUCGCUGGCGCUGUAAUAGCAUCGCGCUAACCGCUACACUACCAUGCCGCCAUCAUGUGCAUUGUGCUAUCAUGAAGCAGCUCUCCUGUUCCCAAGGAGCACCGCUGUGUACAGUUUCAAAAUAACAAAAAAGGAAAAGGGCCUGAAGGAAAAGUUUGGGCACCCUGCAUGAUGAAACCUACGGGGACCUAAGGAUACUCGAGACCUGUAUCUUCGAGAGCUUUUAUGAGCUGCCAUUACAUCUCAAGUGAUAACUAAAUGUGGCAUUGUGGACAUCUGCCUCUCAGCAAUGGACCCUGGUUACCUGAUCUCAAAAAACUAAAGCUGUAGUAGGCUGAGGAAGAAACAGAGACUCCUAUCUGGAAAACGUGGGCUUUCAUAUGUUGUUUACUUUGAGAGAGCACUACUGGCAAUUUUGUUUUUGAAGGAAGUUGUAUUAAAGAGUACAGAAUUAAGAAAUUAUUUGCAUCAAAAAAGCACACUUAUGUCAAACAAAGAUAGAUGAUUGACACAAUAGGUUUCUAAUUCAACAAAAACAAUUUGCAUUUUAAGCGUUUUUAAAAAAAUAUACAGAGAAUGUUCCAAGAAGCAUGGGUUUCUCAAAAAAAAUGUCUACCUCAGACUGGCUUAGAAAUUAAUGCAGUAUAACAUUCUCCAAGACUUUAUAAAAUAUCAAGAAUGUAAGUGACCAUAGGGGCAACUACAAUAAAUGUUUAAUACACAUUCAACUUUGAAAGCACUAAACUAUUGUAUGAUUCUGAACACAAGUUAUGUA